CUCGCCUUACGUUUGUCGCAUUUGAAAACACUGGUUGUAAGUACGUGAAUCCUUUCUAUCCCUCCUUUGUGCUAGUGUUUCCCGUGAUUUUCUCAUGGGGAAGUACGCCGACUUCUGUUGAGACAUUAUGGAGCUCCGCUGUUGGGUCAAUAGCUAUGGCUUUCCUCUUGAUUACAAGCUUAGCCUUGCUUAAAAGGGUGACCCCUUAUAGUUGGGUUUAGUUUCCCUAAUGGCAGUUGUUGAUGAUGGCCUUAGAUUCCCUUAAUCCGAGUUUUUCAAGGAGAUGUUGAUGAUGUUCACCCUUGCCCCUUAUCAGGUGAGCUCGAAUUUUUGUAAGAUAGUAAACGACAUAGACGUCUUCAAUAGUGUCCAUCUUUUCGGCCUCAGACCUGUUGGCCUAGAAAGGAUUUACUCCCCAAACAUUGUGGUCACCAAGACAAGUAGCACUAUUCCCUAGGAAAGCAGGUAAGGCGCUCAUCCAUUGACUUCCUUUCUGUGCUAAGGAUAGCGAGGAAAAGCUUUCUUGAUCAACGGCCACGGUUAGGAGUUUGGCCCCAGUCUUGAAGGGAGUCCGAACUUCGAACACUAUCUUCCGCACGCUAGGUUCUCCUCCCGCUCUGAACGUUGAUAUGACUAGAACACAUGCUCCCAUAUUCCUAAGGCCUUUUGCUGAGGCACGUUGAGUUACUCCAUCUACGUCAGUGCUGCCUCCGGCUGCGCCACCUCCUCCCCCGCUAAUCUCGGGAAGAGGGUUCGAGAAAUCAAUCCUACUAUUGGGGGCCAAAGAAGAAAGAAAUCUCUUGACUCCCGACAUUCUGUUAAGAGCUCAACCUCUCCUUCAUCUCGUUUUGGGGAUGGGGAUAGAUUGGUUUUCACCCCUAGUAUCAAUAGUUGGCAUUGCACAAGGGACUGCUAUGUACGGGAUGAAGGGGUUAGCCUUGCUGUUUUGUCAGCUGCAUCUAUCCUAGCCGAUCAGCAUUGGUGGGAGAAUGCUCCCGACGAGGAGCUUAGAGAAUGUGCUUCUCGUUAUAUUAUGCAGGGAACUUCACCUAUCCAAAGAAUUAAAGAACCUUCAAGACCACCUAUUCCAGUGUGCACGAUGACAAUUACGUAAGGUGGUAUCUUGUGGGUGCAAUCACACUUUAUAGUUCCUACAUUGAAAUUACGUGUUCAAAGGACGAUUAGGGGAAUGCCAGAAGAUAUGCACAAUGCCUUGUCAAGCUGCCUGAAUGUGAUAUGGUUUAUGGAUUUGAAACAUGGAAGUGUUUAUGUCACUUGGCUUGAUGUUUUAUGCUUGUUGAUUUGCUCCAUAGGCAUGUAUAGUUGGCAUGUAAUUUUGUGUUUGCCUUGUUAAGUAUUGAUAAAUUUACUUGUAUGACCUUUAAAGACAUGGCAAGCUAACGUAAUGUUAUGAUAUGAUAUAGACAAGAGCACGAGUGCAUAGAUGUUUGUCUGCACUUUUGAAACUGGCAAGAGAGCAAUGGAGUCAAGGGUGAAAAGUUGGUGGAGGGAGAAAUGAGUUGAAAUGCGUUCUCGCGUGUAUGAGAGAAGGGUAGGGUCGAGGGGCAGAGGGACUUUUAUGACCUUCAUCGAUACUCGCUGCCACAUCUUUUACUAUAUACUUGUUGAAGAGCUUCAUUGUGGAAACUGAUAAACAAUGCUGGCAACAGGAUAUUGCUUGAAGAUGGUGACUUUUUGUUUAGAUGAUUUGAAGAUGCAGGUACUUCUCUUUAUAAAGGAAAGGGUGUAAUUUUGGUAGUUACGAUUUGUAUUCCACCUUAUGGGUGGCUAGAGUGCU